AGUGAACGCUGGCGGUAGGCCUAACACAUGCAAGUCGAACGGCAGCACAGUAAGAGCUUGCUCUUACGGGUGGCGAGUGGCGGACGGGUGAGGAAUACAUCGGAAUCUACUUUUUCGUGGGGGAUAACGUAGGGAAACUUACGCCAAUACCGCAUACGACCUACGGGUGAAAGCAGGGGAUCUUUGGCCCUUGCGCGAUUGAAUGUGCCGAUGUCGGAUUAGCUAGUUGGCGGGGUAAAGGCCCACCAAGGCGACGAUCCGUAGCUGGUCUGAGAGGAUGAUCAGCCACACUGGAACUGAGACACGGUCCAGACUCCUACGGGAGGCAGCAGUGGGGAAUAUUGGACAAUGGGCGCAAGCCUGAUCCAGCCAUACCGCGUGGGUGAAGAAGGCCUUCGGGUUGUAAAGCCCUUUUGUUGGGAAAGAAAAGCAGCAGGUUAAUACCCCGCUGUUCUGACGGUACCCAAAGAAUAAGCACCGGCUAACUUCGUG
rnacentral:rRNA from 1 species